GAUAAACGCUGGCGGCGUGCAUGAGACAUGCAAGUCGAACGGACGAUCGAGGCUUGCUUCGAUCGUUAGUGGCGGACGGCUGAGUAACGCGUAGGUGACCUGCCCCGAAGUGGGGAAUAACUGCCCGAAAGGGUGGCUAAUACCGCAUGUGGUGGUGUGUUCAAUCACACCAGUAAAGCCGCAAGGCGCUUCGGGAGGGGCCUGCGUCCGAUUAGCUCGUUGGUGGGGAACGGCUCACCAAGGCGACGAUCGGUAGGUGGUCUGAGAGGACGAUCACCCAGACUGGGACUGAGACACGGCCCAGACUCCUACGGGAGGCAGCAGUCGGGAAUUUUGCGCAAUGG
rnacentral:rRNA from 1 species